AAUGAACGCUGGCGGCAUGCCUUACACAUGCAAGUCGAACGGCAGCAUGACCUAGCUUGCUAGGUUGAUGGCGAGUGGCGAACGGGUGAGUAAUGCAUCGGAACGUGCCUUUUAGUGGGGGAUAACGUAGCGAAAGUUACGCUAAUACCGCAUAUUCUCUGAGGAGGAAAGCAGGGGACCUUCGGGCCUUGCGCUAGAAGAGCGGCCGAUGUCGGAUUAGCUAGUUGGUGAGGUAAAGGCUCACCAAGGCAACGAUCCGUAGCGGGUCUGAGAGGAUGAUCCGCCACACGGGAACUGGGACACGGCCCAGACUCCUACGGGAGGCAGCAGUGGGGAAUUUUGGACAAUGGGCGCAAGCCGGAUCCAGCCAUGCCGCGUGAGUGAAGAAGGCCUUCGGGUUGUAAAGCUCUUUCGGCUGGGAAGAAAUCGCACCCUCUAAUACAGGGUGUGGAUGACGGUACCAGCAUAAGAAGCACCGGCUAACUACGUG
rnacentral:rRNA from 1 species